AGCUUUGAGCAGUGGCAGUAUUAUAGCCAAUGAGGUUAUCCAAGGUGUAGUUAUUGCUGAUUAUUGCUAACUGAAAAAUUAUGUAUAUUUGCUGUACAACAUGAGUUUUUUUUUUUUGGUACCAG
rnacentral:snRNA from 1 species